rnacentral:rRNA from 1 species
GCCGCGUGUGUGAAGAAGGCCUUCGGGUUGUAAAGCACUUUUGUCCGGAAAGAAAUCCUUGGUCCUAAUAUGGCCGGGGGAUGACGGUACCGGAAGAAUAAGCACCGGCUAACUACGUGCCAGCAGCCGCGGUAAUACGUAGGGUGCGAGCGUUAAUCGGAAUUACUGGGCGUAAAGCGUGCGCAGGCGGUUUGCUAAGACCGAUGUGAAAUCCCCGGGCUCAACCUGGGAACUGCAUUGGUGACUGGCAGGCUAGAGUAUGGCAGAGGGGGGUAGAAUCCCACGUGUAGCAGUGAAAUGCGUAGAGAUGUGGAGGAAUACCGAUGGCGAAGGCAGCCCCCUGGGCCAAUACUGACGCUCAUGCACGAAAGCGUGGGGAGCAAACAGGAUUAGAUACCCUGGUAGUCCACGCCCUAAACGAUGUCAACUAGUUGUUGGGGAUUCAUUUCCUUAGUAACGUAGCUAACGCGUGAAGUUGACCGCCUGGGGAGUACGGUCGCAAGAUUAAAACUCAAGGAACU